CUUGGGCCCUAGGUUUGAUUAAAUAAUGGGCUUGGGAAUAGGCUUUAGACUGGGUUUAGUUUCAUUAAGUGGGUUGGGCUUGAUUUAAUUGUGGGUUGAAUAAUUAGCCAAUAAACCACAACAAUAAUAUUUCUUUUACGGGCUGCAUUUGCAUAUAUUUUUACAAAUGAUAUUAUUAAAUUUUAUAUUUCAAUUUACAUUAUUAAUUUAAAUUUAGUUUUCAUUAAAUUUUGAACCCAAAUAUUUUUAUAAGAAAAGCUCUUUUAUAAUCUAUUAGACCAAUAAUUUUUAAAUGGCUAUAUGAUAAUAAAUUCUUAAGAUUUAAAUUACUAUUAUUAUUAUUAUUUUUAAAAUUCAAUUAGGCCCUUAUAUGUUAUUAUUUGAAUUUAUCUGACUAGGUGCGGCGCGACUAGGAUAUGAAUUUUAAUUGUAUUACUCAAGUUAGCAUUCAAGUUGAAGUUCAAGUUCAAGUUAAAUUUCCAGUUUCAGGUGAUUGAUAUCGGAGGCGCGUGGAGAGUCGAAUGGGCGCGUCGAAUCUAUUUAAAGAUAAAUGUUUCUUAAAACAUAUUAUGUUAUUUCAUGUGAUAUCUUUUGGUUAUGUAAACUCUGAAAUUCUAUACUAUUUGAGAUUUGUGUGUGAUUUAUUUAAAAAAAUGUUAUUAUAUUAUUUUAA